rnacentral:rRNA from 1 species
AUUGAACGCUGGCGGCAUGCUUUACACAUGCAAGUCGAACGGUAACAGGCCGCAAGGUGCUGACGAGUGGCGAACGGGUGAGUAAUGCAUCGGAACGUGCCCAGUCGUGGGGGAUAACGCAGCGAAAGCUGUGCUAAUACCGCAUACGAUCUACGGAUGAAAGCGGGGGACUCAGCAAUGAGCCUCGCGCGAUUGGAGCGGCCGAUGUCAGAUUAGGUAGUUGGUGGGAUAAAGCUCACCAAGCCGACGAUCUGUAGCUGGUCUGAGAGGACGACCAGCCACACUGGGACUGAGACACGGCCCAGACUCCUACGGGAGGCAGCAGUGGGGAAUUUUGGACAAUGGGCGCAAGCCUGAUCCAGCAAUGCCGCGUGCAGGAAGAAGGCCUCGGUUGUAAGCUCUGUUGUAGGUACGAAGAUACAAGGGAAGUAACUAGCCCUUCGUACGUGACGGUACCGUUACCACGUCAAGCCCCGGCCGUAACCUACCG